CUCUCUCUCUCUCUCUCCAUUCCCUAAUCCUCUGUCCCUCCAUUCCCCGAUCCUCUCUCUCCCUCCCGGUCUUUGCUCCAUCUUCUCAUUCUCCUCGCUCUCUCUCCAAUGCAUCUCCGCCCUCUCUAUCUCUCUCUCCCACUCUCCUUCUCAACCCAAACCCAAACCCUCCUCUCCCAACAUCCAUGUCCUGGGGUGGCACUCUCUCCUCUGUCCGAUUGAUAGUCCAAGGCAAAAAUCAUGUCCAGAGAUCGGGAAAGGCCCGAAGCUCCGCAGGUGCGAGGUGCGUGUAGUGGUAUUUCCGUAGUUCUUAUUCUGGGUGUGUCAUUUUUCGAUGGAAAUUAGGGUUUCGAGGGAGUGAUCGGCGGUAAAAAAUCAGGUAAAUGACAGUAAGUUCAUGCAAGAGUAUAAAAAAGUGUCAUUUCUUCCCCAUUUGUGGUAAGCUCCAAUAAGAACAUGCAGGGCUGAUGUAUUUUCAGCCUCACAGAUCAAUGUUUCCAUUGCAAGGUUCAACAUUGAAAUGUGAUUAUCAGAAGCAGUGGGCCAUCAUUGAAAGAUUACCCUUGUAGUGAGUCUAGAUGGGAGAGGACAAGGAUCUUUUAGUUAUGACGAACGUGGAUUUGCAAAAGCUGUUCCCAGGCAAGAAGGUAAGAGAAUAAUACACCCAGGUGAACUUGAAUC